AGUCUUUCUUUUUUUUUUUUUUUUUGUUCUUUGUUUGUUUGGUUGUAUUUCUUCGAUUUUUGAAGCGUCUUUUCCGAUAGGAACUGUUUUGGAUCGAUUGGAUGUCUGAUUUGUUGCGAAAUCGUUUUAGAUCUGUGAAUCCUCUUUUCUUUCGGUUUUGAAUUUUCUUUUUAUUUUUAUGUGUAAUUUAUCUAUAGAUUCUUUGGACUAAUCGAUGCAACAUUGGGUUUUCGCUUCUGGUUUAGAAUUUCUAGGGAUUUGGGUUUGUGUUUAUAGUUUUAUUAUUUGUGGGAUUUGGUUGAAGCUAAAGCUGUCAUCUGCUUGGCUUAGAUUUGUUGAAAGUCAAUCAUCUAUUUGAUGUAAAUUGUCUUACCCAUUCACUGGAUGGGAAAGUUUUUAUGUACAAAUUCUAUAUCCAUUCAAUAUGUGGGGAUUUUUAUGGGACUCAUCAGUUAAACGCAUGCUUUUGAAAUUGGUUAUAAAUGUGAAUAUUGCUUGCUAUAUGAUUAUCACAAAUGAAAUGCAUACUCGUGCCUUUAUCUUUUAUCUUUAAGAUCUCUCAUCUAAAAGUAGGUGCAUGUUUUAAAUUUGGCAAUGUUAAUUUACUUGUUAAUGCUUUCAUUAUAAAGCAAAAACUAAUGCUCUGUAUGAUCAUUUCUAGGGAUUUCUUUGGUUAUUAUUAUUAUGCAAGCAAAAAGGCAAUUACUGUUUAAGGAAAAAAAUCUGAAAUGCUAGUCUUUUUGUUGUCUUAAUUGCCCUGAAAAAUUCAUAUAACAAAUAUACCUUUUUAUUGUUCGAUUUAUUUUUGUUAUCAAAAUCACAAUCUAUAUAAUGUUUAGGAGAAAAAGAUAGUUGAAGCAAAUGAAACCUGUUGUUCUUAGUUGCAUAUCUGUUUUCUGAACAUCACCACUUUUACUACACUUCCAAUCUCACCAUUGCCGCCCCCAGCAGCAUGUAUAAUACCAGUUUAUUUGUCCAUUGCUUUAUUGGUUAGGUUAUAAUUGUUUGGCAUAGAGUCUCUAAUGUAGUGUAUAAAAUUGCUCAAUCAGUUUCAUCAAUUGCCUCUCAUUAAUAUCAGUUCUUUUGUUCAUUGCUUGUUUGAUGUGUGACGAAUGAGCUGUUGUUACUCUUUUCUCAUUCUAAUGUUCUCUGUUUUACAUGCAUCACAUACAAAAUGUAACAUGGGUUGGAUGGUUCGUAUCUUACCUAUAUCUCUCUUUGGCAAACAAUUCCAAGGAUAAAAUUGUUUGAAACAAGAACUUCAAGGAAAAAAGAUGUUUGGAAUUGCAUUAUGGGCAAUUAAAUAAACAUAACAAGGAGAAUACCCUUACAUAGAGCACCCAUUCAAAACGUCCAAUUUACUGCAAGCCCCAUUUCCCUCUUCAUUCUUUCAAAGCAAGGAGAUUGGAGAAUAUUUGGGAAAAAAGUUCUUUUAAGUAAUGUAAGAGGGAGUAUAAAUAUCGUUUAGCAAAGUGGUGUGGCAAUAAGCAACCUUUGGGUGUGGAAUACUAUGCGUCAAGUCCCUUUUUAAAACAUUUUUCUUAAUAAGUUCUAUUGGCAAGUGUUUUUAUUUAUAGAGAUUCAUAUUUGAAAGAGACCACCUUUGGCAAUCUGUCAUAGUCAUAAACAUUGAGCAAAUCAUUAUGGAUGGACUACGAAAGGUAGACAGGGAAUAGUGCAAAGCAAGGUAUGGAAAUUUUACUGUGGUAGAGAAAAUUAUGGUUACAUGUUCUUAAUGUAAGCAACAACCAUUAUAUUCCUUUUGGCAUGAUACUUGGUGUGGCAUGUGCCCCCUAAUAAGUCAACUUCUUGGCCUCUUCUUGCUGGCUUCAGGGAUGCCAGUGUAAAUUCUUUUAGAUAACCAUCAUCUAGAGGGGUGAUUUAGUAAAUGUAUUUGGUGCAGAAUGCCCAAGAGUAGGAGUUAGAUCCCUCUUCAAACUUCUUCAACUGUUAUGCAUAUUAUUGGAUCUGUGAAGGUAGGACUAGGUAUUCGUACUAGGUGGAUUAGUCUAUAGGGAUUCAGGCAUUGUUGAUAAAAGCUAUUGUAAUUAUCUAAAAGUCAUAGAAGGCAAAAGGAUUAAUCUUCCAUGAAGGCACUUUGAUAGACUUGCUUAGAAAGGUUGCUUUCUAGCUCAGAAGGCUACCCAUAGAGGAUUUAACCCAUUGAAAAUCUACAAAACAGAAAAAAAAUCAUGGAAAAUAAAUGUACUACUGCAAAAGGUUAACAGAAGCCAUGCAUCACUUGUUGUUGGGUUGUAUUUGGAUUUUGAUGACAUAACUAUGGAAGCUUGUCUAUUUGGUCAUGAUGAUUUUUGGCUAGCGACAAGAUCAACUACAUAUGUGCAGUUAACUAUUUUUAAGGGGUACAAAAAAAUAUCGACUACUUAAGCGGUAGUCCUUGCAAUUCUUAACAGGUAGUGAUCUUUCCAUCUAGCUUACUUGGUCUCAUUUUUCUUGAUAAUAUGAUUCCUAGCAUUUCUGUUCUUCAAACUUGAAUCUCGAUUGGAGACAGAUGUAAGACCUGCUUUUGCAUCAUCCCUGUGUUGGACAAGAGAUGGGCAUCUUCACUUUAUAGAAACCAACUUAACCUUCACUAGAUUGACCUCUAGAAACUGUUCCAAAGAAAAGAGAAUGCAUUUCAAAUAUAGAGUUCGUUGCACUUAACAUAAAAUGAUUCCGUAGACAAGGAAGGGAAUAUUUGAUAUGGUUAGCUCUCAUCAUUUAUUCCUACCUCCACCGAUCCACUGAAGCACACGUACUUCAUAGACUUUGACAAUAUUCUGCUAAUGAUUUGACAAGAUACACUUAAGCCACAAGUUUUUAACAUUGAUGGGCCCAUUCCAUUUUGGGAAUUAAGUAACAAUUGUUAUUCAGACUAGGCUCAAAUUAUUGUUGGAUAUUUGUCUCUUGAAAAAUGAAAUUAAUUUGAAGUCUAUAAAAUAUCAUGACGGAAAUGGUUUACAUGUAUUAUAAUUAUGAAUUGUUGUUGGCUCAGGUUUGUUUGCUCUACAAACAUG
rnacentral:misc_RNA from 1 species